AUUGAACGCUGGCGGCAGGCUUAACACAUGCAAGUCGAGCGGAGAUGAGGUGCUUGCACCUUAUCUUAGCGGCGGACGGGUGAGUAAUGCUUAGGAAUCUGCCUAUUAGUGGGGGACAACAUUCCGAAAGGAGUGCUAAUACCGCAUACGUCCUACGGGAGAAAGCAGGGGAUCUUCGGACCUUGCGCUAAUAGAUGAGCCUAAGUCGGAUUAGCUAGUUGGUGGGGUAAAGGCCUACCAAGGCGACGAUCUGUAGCGGGUCUGAGAGGAUGAGCCGCCACACUGGGACUGAGACACGGCCCAGACUCCUACGGGAGGCAGCAGUGGGGAAUAUUGGACAAUGGGGGGAACCCUGAUCCAGCCAUGCCGCGUGUGUGAAGAAGGCCUUAUGGUUGUAAAGCACUUUAAGCGAGGAGGAGGCUACUGAGACUAAUACUCUUGGAUAGUGGACGUUACUCGCAGAAUAAGCACCGGCUAACUCUGUGCCAGCCGCCGCAGUAAAAC
rnacentral:rRNA from 1 species